rnacentral:rRNA from 1 species
UACGGAGGGAGCUAGCGUUGUUCGGAAUUACUGGGCGUAAAGCGCGCGUAGGCGGCUUUGUAAGUUAGAGGUGAAAGCCCGGAGCUCAACUCCGGAACUGCCUUUAAGACUGCAUCGCUAGAACGUCGGAGAGGUAAGUGGAAUUCCGAGUGUAGAGGUGAAAUUCGUAGAUAUUCGGAAGAACACCAGUGGCGAAGGCGACUUACUGGACGACUGUUGACGCUGAGGUGCGAAAAGCGUGGGGGAGCAAACAGG